rnacentral:SRP_RNA from 10 species
GAAGGCAGCAGCGCCAGCCGUUGGGGCGGCUGCGCGGGUAGCUG